rnacentral:lncRNA from 1 species
UUAUCAGAAGCACAAAAGGUCUCAUUCCAAUCAGCACAUAAAGUGUAUGUGUUCCCAAAUUAUGGACAAUCAUCAAGAACAAUUAUGAAAACAAUUCUCUGUUUUGAAAGCCUUAAGAGUCGGGUUUGAAGAGAAAACGAGAUUUAAAUGGAAGAGAUGGCUAACGGCAGCGGAGUGGCGACCUUGCUUUCGGCGAGUGCUAUCUCCAGGGGAUGUCAGCGUGUCCUCAAUUGGGCUCGAAAGUAUGUCAUCAAGUGAUGAUGGACCGCCAUUGAUGUUGCCCGGAGAUGAAUCAGAAGCCAUGGUCGAUGUGGAUGGGCGGUGGUGGUGGAGUCCGACGUUGUGGUGGCGAGCAGUGACGGUUCCAGUGAGCGGCGGCGGCUACAAGCUUCAAUUCCUCUGCUGCUUUCUAGACCCUAGCCGCCCUUAGUUUUUCCUCUGUUUUCCUCUUCAGCCUAGCCGUCAACGCAAUCCCUAUACACGUUUCCCCGGCGAAGCUUUGCUGAUGGCGUUGGCAAGGGAUGGGAAGUCGGUAGUGGGAAUAGAGUUGGCGGCGGUGCCGUUGACCUGAGCAUCGGAGGGUUGGGGUUGGGGUGAGUGGUGGCUGUCGACGUGGUCAUGGUGGACUGAUGAUGAAGGUGGAGGUGGUGCCAGAUUGGAAGCUCCAGAGGCGGAGCUCGCCGUCCCAGGAUCAAGUCAUGGUGGAUUUUCACUUUUUUUAGACGGAGCUCCCUCCCUCUCCGUUUCUGUUUUAGCCU